UACAGAGGUGGCAAGCGUUGUUCGGAAUUACUGGGCGUAAAGGGCGCGUAGGCGGUUCGUUAAGUCCUGUGUGAAAUCCCCCGGCUCAACUGGGGAACUGCACAGGAAACUAGCGGGCUUGAGUUCGGGAGAGGGAAGCGGAAUUCCGGGUGUAGCGGUGAAAUGCGUAGAUAUCCGGAGGAACACCGGUGUCGAAGGCGGCUUCCUGGACCGACACUGACGCUGAGGCGCGAAGGCGUGGGGAGCGAACGGG
rnacentral:rRNA from 1 species